GACGAACCGUGCGAACGUUAUUCGGAAUCACUGGGCUUAAAGCGCGUGUAGGCGGUCCGACAAGUCAGGGGUGAAAUCCUGCAGCUUAACUGCAGAAGUGCCUCUGAUACUGUCGGUCUGGAGGGAGAUAGGGGUGUGCGGAACUUCCAGUGGAGCGGUGAAAUGCGUUGAUAUUGGAAGGAACGCCGGAGGCGAAAGCGGCGCACUGGAUCUCUUCUGACGCUGAGGCGCGAAAGCUAGGGGAGCAAACGGG
rnacentral:rRNA from 1 species